AUUGAACGCUGGCGGCAGGCCUAACACAUGCAAGUCGAACGAGUGGCGGGCGGGUGAGUAAUGUCUGGGACACUGCCUGAUGGAGGGGGAUAACUACUGGAAACGGUAGCUAAUCCCGCAUACCAUCAGAUGUGCCCAGAUGGGAUUAGCUAGUUGGUGGGGUAACGGCGCACAAGGGCGACGAUCCCUAGCUGGUGUGAGGGGCUGACCAGCCACCCUGGAACUGUGCCACGCUCCGAACUCCUACGGUAGGAGGCGGUGGGGAAUAUUGCACAAUGGGCGCAAUCCGGAUGCGGCCAUGCCGCUUGUAGGAAGAAGGCCUUGGGUUUGUAAAGUACUUUCAGCGGGGAGGCGUUACCCGCAGAAGAAGCACCGGCUAACUCCGUGCCAGCAGCCGCGGUAAUUC
rnacentral:rRNA from 1 species